UCCGUAGGUGAACCUGCGGAGGGAUCAUUACACAAUAUGAAAGCGGGCUGGCAUCCUUCGGGGUUACAGCCUUGCUGAAUUAUUCACCCGUGUCUUUUGCGUACUUCUUGUUUCCUUGGUGGGUUCGCCCACCAUAGGACAAACCAUAAACCUUUUGUAAUUGCAAUCAGCGUCAGAAAAAAAAAAUUAAUAAUUACAACUUUUAACAACGGAUCUCUUGGUUCUGGCAUCGAUGAAGAACGCAGCGAAAUGCGAUAAGUAGUGUGAAUUGCAGAAUUCAGUGAAUCAUCGAAUCUUUGAACGCACAUUGCGCCCUUUGGUAUUCCAAAGGGCAUGCCUGUUCGAGCGUCAUUUGUACCCUCAAGCUUUGCUUGGUGUUGGGCGUCUUGUCUCCAGUUCGCUGGAGACUCGCCUUAAAGUAAUUGGCAGCCGGCCUACUGGUUUCGGAGCGCAGCACAAGUCGCGCUCUCUUCCAGCCAAGGUCAGCAUCCACAAAGCCUUUUUUCAACUUUUGACCUCGGAUCAGGUAGGGAUACCCGCUGAACUUAAGCAUAUCAAUAAGCCGGAGG
rnacentral:rRNA from 1 species